rnacentral:rRNA from 1 species
GCAUAUCAAUAAGCGGAGGAAAAGAAACCAACAGGGAUUGCCCCAGUAACGGCGAGUGAAGCGGCAACAGCUCAAAUUUGAAAUCUGGCCCCCCCCGGGGGGCCCGAGUUGUAAUUUGCAGAGGAUGCUUUGGGCGAGGCGCCUUCCGAGUUCCCUGGAACGGGACGCCACAGAGGGUGAGAGCCCCGUCUGGUCGGACGCCGAGCCUCUGUAAAGCUCCUUCGACGAGUCGAGUAGUUUGGGAAUGCUGCUCAAAAUGGGAGGUAUAUGUCUUCUAAAGCUAAAUACCGGCCAGAGACCGAUAGCGCACAAGUAGAGUGAUCGAAAGAUGAAAAGCACCUUGAAAAGGGGGUUAAACAGUACGUGAAAUUGUUGAAAGGGAAGCGCUCGUGACCAGACUUGGGGCGGGCGGAUCAGCCGGCGUUCUUGCCGGCGCACAUCGCCCGUCCCAGGCCAGCAUCAGUUCGCGCCGGGGGACAAAGGCGGCGGGAACGUGGCUCCCCAGGGAGUGUUAUAGCCCGCCGCGCCAUGCCCCGGGGGCGGACUGAGGGCCGCGCAUCACUGCAAGGAUGCUGGCGUAAUGGUCACCAGCGACCCGUCUUGAAACACGGACC